rnacentral:rRNA from 1 species
CCUACGGGAGGCAGCAGUGAGGAAUAUUGGUCAAUGGGCGCGAGCCUGAACCAGCCAAGUAGCGUGAAGGAUGACUGCCCUACGGGUUGUAAACUUCUUUUAUACGGGAAUAAAGUGAGUCACGUGUGCCGUUUUGUAUGUACCUUAUGAAUAAGGACCGGCUAAUUCCGUGCCAGCAGCCGCGGUAAUACGGAGGAUCCGAGCGUUAUCCGGAUUUAUUGGGUUUAAAGGGAGCGUAGUCGGGAUGUUAAGGCAGUUGUGAAAGUUUGCGGCUCAACCAUAGAAUUGCAGUUGAUACUGGCAGGCUUGAGUACGGUUGAGGUAGGCGGAAUUCGUGGUGUAGCGGUGAAAUGCUUAGAUAUCACGAAGAACUCCGAUUGCGAAGGCAGCCUACUGAACUGCCACUGACGUUGAUGCUCGAAAGUGUGGGUAUCAAACAGGAUUAGAUACCCGAGUAGUC